GUAACCUAAUUUUACAAAGCUCUCUCGUCUCUCCCUCUCCGUCACGGCGUCGACGUCAUUCACUCACUCACUCUCUCGUGUUACUGUAUCUUAAGGCCUUGGACACACUUGGCAACACCAAGUGGGGAGUUAAUAGAAGAUUACUUAAUUAAUGUUGUGGAGUCCCUCUAGGCUGACGGAGGUGUUAUUGUGACUGAAGGUGAACAAUUGCUGCUCUCUUUUGGUGUUGUCAUUGAAAGAAUUUGGUAGCUGAGAAGUAAGCAUUUAACUGGAGUCAAUCACAGAAAAAGUGACUCGAAAGAUGAUGACAUCCUUCAGCCAGAUGCAGUCCCAGUUUCAGUCUCAGAUGCAAUUACAGGGACUUGCACUACCUCCAGAGCCAGAGGUUGGUCCCUCAGAUCCUCGUGUCAGCACAAAAGAGAGUUGUGUUGCUCCCUCAGGGAACGAUCCAGGGACGGGUGACUCAGACAAAUGCGGGCUAUACAUUGAAGAAAAUCCUUCCCGCCUGGUUGCCCUAGGAAGACUUUAUGAGGGAUCCACAACAGUUCACAACAUCCCUUUGUUGCAUGGCCAAGUCAAGGUUGGUGUUGAGGAGGUUAAAGAUGCAGAGGCUCUCGUUCCUGUACCCACUGACGAGGUUACCUCAGUGGGGCAGGCAUUUAACACCUUCCUUGCUUGGCCAACACAACUUGUGAAGCGUUUAUCAGAAUAGACAGCUGUGUCUCCAGCAAAACCUCCAGAAAGCCCGGAUGAAGAGGUCGAUGAUCCCUUGUACCUGAUGACAUUGAUCAUCCCACAACUGUUUUUGAAGCCUCUCCAGGUUAUGUGGGAUGCUACCAUAUUCGAGGUGUUUAAUCAAAACUUCCCGUUGUAUAUAAAGUACGAAGAUCUCUCUGAAAUUGCACACGGUGAUCAAUGUCUUAGCAUAUCUGUUAUACAGUUGUGGAUUCUGUAAAUCAUUUUAGAUUACUAUUAAUUACCAAAGUAAUUGUUUUAAAUUCAUACAUAAUUAACUUUGACUUAACAA